GACGAACCGUGCGAACGUUGUUCGGAAUCACUGGGCUUAAAGGGCGCGUAGGCGGCCUUGUAAGUCCUGUGUGAAAUCCCCCGGCUCAACUGGGGAACUGCACAGGAGACUGCUUGGCUUGAGUUCGGGAGAGGGAAGCGGAAUUCCGGGUGUAGCGGUGAAAUGCGUAGAUAUCCGGAGGAACACCGGUGGCGAAGGCGGCUUCCUGGACCGACACUGACGCUGAGGCGCGAAAGCCAGGGGAGCAAACGGG
rnacentral:rRNA from 1 species